rnacentral:lncRNA from 1 species
UGGUUGGUUUGUGGCAUUGUGACAUUGUAGCUGGUCUUUCACAUCACACCAAAUCCAAGGAAGGGUUAGUUAUAUCUAACAAGGAUAUAGAGAGUGACAUCAUGGAUCAAACAAAGAGUCAAAAAAUGAUAAUUUAAAGUAAGAGAUUGUGAGAUUAAGAAAACAAAUGAUGGGAAUGUAUCGUGCUUGGACCAGUGAGCUGCCUCCUCCUCCA